rnacentral:rRNA from 1 species
AGUGAACGCUGGCGGUAGGCCUAACACAUGCAAGUCGAACGGCAGCACAGUAAGAGCUUGCUCUUACGGGUGGCGAGUGGCGGACGGGUGAGGAAUAAAUCGGAAUCUACUUUUUCGUGGGGGAUAACGUAGGGAAACUUACGCUAAUACCGCAUACGACCUACGGGUGAAAGCAGGGGAUCUUCGGACCUUGCGCGAUUGAAUGAGCCGAUGUCGGAUUAGCUAGUUGGCGGGGUAAAGGCCCACCAAGGCGACGCUCCGUAGCUGGUCUGAGAGGAUGAUCAGCCACACUGGAACUGAGACACGGUCCAGACUCCUACGGGAGGCAGCAGUGGGGAAUAUUGGACAAUGGGCGCAAGCCUGAUCCAGCCAUACCGCGUGGGUGAAGAAGGCCUUCGGGUUGUAAAGCCCUUUUGUUGGGAAAGAAAAGCAGCAGGUUAAUACCCCGCUGUUCUGACGGUACCCAAAGAAUAAGCACCGGCUAACUUCGUG